rnacentral:rRNA from 1 species
UUUCAGACUCCUACGGGAGGCAGCAGUGAGGAAUAUUGGUCAAUGGUCGGGAGACUGAACCAGCCAAGCCGCGUGAGGGAUGAAGGUACAGAGUAUCGUAAACCUCUUUUGUCAGGGAACAAAGGCGGGGACGUGUCCCCGGAUGAGUGUACCUGAAGAAAAAGCAUCGGCUAACUCCGUGCCAGCAGCCGCGGUAAUACGGAGGAUGCGAGCGUUAUCCGGAUUUAUUGGGUUUAAAGGGUGCGUAGGCGGGACGGUAAGUCAGCGGUAAAAAUGCGGAGCUCAACUCCGUCGAGCCGUUGAAACUGCCGUUCUUGAGUGAGCGGGAAGUAUGCGGAAUGCGUGGUGUAGCGGUGAAAUGCAUAGAUAUCACGCAGAACUCCGAUUGCGAAGGCAGCAUACCGGCGCUCAACUGACGCUGAAGCACGAAGGCGUGGGUAUCGAACAGGAUUAGAUACCCUCGUAU